AUUCUUUUUCCCAUUUGAACAUUCCGACUCCCCCUCCCUUUAGUUCCGAAGUAGUUCUGUUGCACCCUUCGCAAACAUAAUUCUCAAUGACUGGUGGCUCUUCUAAGUCUCUAAGAUGCGUUUCUGUAUCCGCAUAGACGCCUG
rnacentral:lncRNA from 1 species